CUCUUUAGAACUGAGUAUGUUUGUUCUUAUGCUACCAUCUCACCAGCAAGUUCUGGACAGGAGACAAACAAUGUAGGUUGUUUCCAAUGGGAUGCUCUUCAGACAAAUCUGAACAGCACAGUGAAACACAGAUAACAAGUUCCUGACGACCAGUCGUACUCACAGGAGGACCAAGCUUAGAAACCACCCUAAGUCACAGGUUAUUCGAUGCCAGGAAACAGCUCUAGAUGCAUCAUAUUUUCCACCCAUUCAUCAAUUUCAACCCAAAGAAGUAUCCUGUGUGCAGACACAGAAAGGAAAGGUCUUUUGCCUUCUCUUACAAAAGAAGCCAGUGUUUAGACUUGGAGUCUAUUCUAGACCAAUGAAAGGACAAGAAGCAGUGUGCUCGCCAUUAGACACCAUGAAGGCCUGGCUAGAGACACAACUUAAUCAGUGUCAAUAAAAGGGGCAUUGUCACGUCUGCUAUAUGUGGUAUGGUCUAGAAAGUAUUUCUUAAAAAGUAUUUCUCAGAAAGGAAGUCCCUAGCGAUACCCAAGAGAAAACAUUCUGAAGUUUGAAAAGGCUGCCAGAUGUUUCUCCCCUGUUGCAGGACCACAAUGCAUGGCAGAUGAUACACAACAUGAAGUUGGCACCAGCAG
rnacentral:lncRNA from 1 species